AUACGUAGGUGACAAGCGUUAUCCGGAUUUACUGGGCGUAAAGAGCUCGUAGGUGGUUUGUCGCGUCGUCUGUGAAAUUCCGGGGCUUAACUCCGGGCGUGCAGGCGAUACGGGCAUAACUUGAGUACUGUAGGGGAGACUGGAAUUCCUGGUGUAGCGGUGAAAUGCGCAGAUAUCAGGAGGAACACCGGUGGCGAAGGCGGGUCUCUGGGAAGUAACUGACGCUGAGGAGCGAAAGCAUGGGUAGCGAACAGGAUUAGAUCCCCUGGUAGUCCAUGCCGUAAACGGUGGGCGCUAGGUGUAGGGGUCUUCCACGACUUCUGUGCCGUAGCUAACGCAUUAAGCGCCCCGCCUGGGGAGUACGGCCGCAAGGCUAAAACUCAAAUGAAUUGACGGGG
rnacentral:rRNA from 1 species